rnacentral:rRNA from 1 species
UACGGGGGGGGGCAAGCGUUGUUCGGAAUUACUGGGCGUAAAGGGCUCGUAGGCGGCCAACUAAGUCGGAUGUGAAAUCCCCAGGCUUAACCUGGGAACUGCAUCCGAUACUGGAUGGCUUGAAUCCGGGAGAGGGAUGCGGAAUUCCAGGUGUAGCGGUGAAAUGCGUAGAUAUCUGGAGGAACACCGGUGGCGAAGGCGGCAUCCUGGACCGGCAUUGACGCUGAGGAGCGAAAGCCAGGGGGAGCAAAACGGGG